AGCGAACGCUGGCGGCAGGCUUAACACAUGCAAGUCGAGCGCCCCGCAAGGGGAGCGGCAGACGGGAGAGUAACACGUGGGAACAUACCUUUUGGUUCGGAACAACUGAGGGAAACUUCAGCUACUACCGGAUAAGCCCUUACGGGGAAAGAUUUAUCUCCGAAAGAUUGGCCCGCGUCUGAUUAGCUAGUUUGUGAGGUAACGGCUCACCAAGGCGACGACCAGUAGCUGGUCUGAGAGGAUGAUCAGACACACUGGGACUGAGACACGGCACAGACUCCUACGGGAGGCAGCAGUGGGGAAUAGUGGACAAUGGGGGCAACGCUGAUGCAGCCAGGCCGCGUGAGUGAUGAAGGCCGUAGGGUUGUAAAGCGCUUGUGCCCGGGAAGAUAAUGACGGUACCGGGAGAAUAAGCCCCGGCUAACUUCGUG
rnacentral:rRNA from 1 species